rnacentral:rRNA from 1 species
ACGGGAGGCAGCAGUGGGGAAUAUUGCACAAUGGGGGAAACCCUGAUGCAGCGACGCCGCGUGAGUGAAGAAGUAUUUCGGUAUGUAAAGCUCUAUCAGCAGGGAAGAUAAUGACGGUACCUGACUAAGAAGCCCCGGCUAACUACGUGCCAGCAGCCGCGGUAAUACGUAGGGGGCAAGCGUUAUCCGGAUUUACUGGGUGUAAAGGGAGCGUAGGUGGUUUGGCAAGUCAGAAGUGAAAGCCAGGGGCUCAACCCCUGGAUUGCUUUUGAAACUGUCAGACUAGAGUACUGGAGAGGUAAGCGGAAUUCCUAGUGUAGCGGUGAAAUGCGUAGAUAUUAGGAGGAACACCAGUGGCGAAGGCGGCUUACUGGACAGCAACUGACACUGAGGCUCGAAAGCGUGGGGAGCAAACAGGAUUAGAUACCCUGGUA